CCUACGGGGGGCUGCAGUGGGGAAUAUUGGGCAAUGGGCGCAAGCCUGACCCAGCAACGCCGCGUGAAGGAAGAAGGCUUUCGGGUUGUAAACUUCUUUUCUGAGGGACGAAGAUAGUGAAGGUACCUCAGGAAUAAGCCACGGCUAACUACGUGCCAGCCGCCGCCGUAAUACGUAGGUGGCAAGCGUGAUACGGAGUUAUUGGGUGUAAAGGGCGGGUAGGCGGGGAAGCAAGUCAGAUUUGAAAACUCCGGGCUCAACCCUGAGACUGCAUUUGAAACUGUUGUUCUUGAGUGCUGGAGAGGCGAGUGGAAUUCCGGGUGUAGCGGUGAAAUGCGUAGAUAUACGGAGGAACACCAGUGGCGAAGGCGGCUUGCUGGACAGUAACUGACGCUGAGGCGCGAAAGCGUGGGGAGCAAACAGGAUUAGAUACCCUAGUAGUC
rnacentral:rRNA from 1 species